rnacentral:rRNA from 1 species
CUACGGAGGGUGCAAGCGUUAUUCGGAAUCACUGGGCGUAAAGGACGCGUAGGCGGGUUGGCAAGUCAGAUGCGAAAUCCUACAGCUUAACUGUAGAACUGCAUUUGAAACUGCUAACCUAGAGUAUGGGAGGGGGAGAUGGAAUUAGUGGUGUAGGGGUAAAAUCCGUAGAUAUCACUAGGAAUACCGAAAGCGAAGGCGAUCUCCUGGAACAUAACUGACGCUAAGGCGUGAAAGCGUGGGGAGCAAACAGGAUUAGAAACCCUAGUAGUCC